AGCAGCCGCGGUAAUUCCAGCUCCAAUAGCGUAUAUUAAAGUUGUUGCAGUUAAAAAGCUCGUAGUUGAAUUUCGGGAUCAAAUUGUCGGUCGUGCCUCGGUACGCACUGGUAUUAUUGGUUCCUACCUUCUGAAGAACCGCGAUGUCAUUAAUUUGGUGUCGUGGGGAAUCAGGACUGUUACUUUGAAAAAAUUAGAGUGUUUAAAGCAGGCUUACGCUUGAAUACAUUAGCAUGGAAUAAUGAAAUAGGACGUUUGAUUCUAUUUUGUUGGUUUCUAGGAUUGACGUAAUGAUUAAUAGGGAUAGUUGGGGGGCAUUAGUAUUCAAUUGUCAGAGGUGAAAUUCUUGGAUUAUUGAAGACUAACUACUGCGAAAGCAUUUGCCAAGGAUGUUUUCAUUAAUCAAGAACGAAAGUUAGGGGAUCGAAGACGAUCAGAUACCGUCGUAGUCUUAACCAUAAACUAUGCCGACUAGGGAUCGGAUGAUGUUAAUUUUUUAAUGACUCAUUCGGCGCCUUAC
rnacentral:rRNA from 1 species